rnacentral:rRNA from 1 species
UACGUAGGCAGCGAGCGUUGUUCGGAAUUACUGGGCGUAAAGAGUGUGUAGGCGGUGCUCUAAGUUCGGUGUGAAAUCUCCUGGCUCAACUGGGAGGGUGCGCCGGAAACUGGAGUGCUUGAGCGUGGGAGAGGAAAGCGGAAUUCCUGGUGUAGCGGUGAAAUGCGUAGAUAUCGGGAGGAACACCGGUGGCGAAGGCGGCGAUCUGGGUAGAUACUGACGCUGAGGUGCGAAAGCGUGGGGAGCAAACAGG